rnacentral:rRNA from 1 species
GAGUUUGAUCGUGGCUCAGGAUGAACGCUGGCGGCGUGCCUAAUACAUGCAAGUCGAGCGAACGGACGAGAAGCUUGCUUCUCUGAUGUUAGCGGCGGACGGGUGAGUAACACGUGGGUAACCUACCUAUAAGACUGGGAUAACUCCGGGAAACCGGGGCUAAUACCGGAUAACACAUGAAACCGCAUGGUUUCAUGAUGAAAGACGGUCUUGCUGUCACUUAUAGAUGGAUCCGCGCUGCAUUAGCUAGUUGGUAAGGUAACGGCUUACCAAGGCAACGAUGCAUAGCCGACCUGAGAGGGUGAUCGGCCACACUGGAACUGAGACACGGUCCAGACUCCUACGGGAGGCAGCAGUAGGGAAUCUUCCGCAAUGGCGAAAGCUGACGGAGCAACGCCGCGUGAGUGAUGAAGGUCUUCGGAUCGUAAAACUCUGUUAUUAGGGAGAACAUAUGUGUAAGUAACUGUGCACAUCUUGACGGUACCUAAUCAGAAAG